UACGGAGGGUGCAAGCGUUAAUCGGAAUUACUGGGCGUAAAGCGCGCGUAGGCGGUUUGUUAAGUCAGAUGUGAAAGCCCAGGGCUCAACCUUGGAACUGCAUCUGAUACUGGCAGGCUAGAGUACAGGAGAGGGAAGUGGAAUUUCAGGUGUAGCGGUGAAAUGCGUAGAGAUCUGAAGGAACACCAGUGGCGAAGGCGACUUCCUGGACUGAUACUGACGCUGAGGUGCGAAAAGCGUGGGGGAGCAAAACAGGAUUAGAUACCCCCGU
rnacentral:rRNA from 1 species